UACGUAGGGAGCAAGCGUUGUCCGGAAUCAUUGGGCGUAAAGCGCGCGUCGGCGGCCCCGUAAGUCCGCUGUGAAAGUCAAAGGCUCAACCUUUGAAAGCCGGUGGAUACUGUGGGGCUAGAGUACGGAAGAGGCGAGUGGAAUUCCUGGUGUAGCGGUGGAAUGCGCAGAUAUCAGGAGGAACACCAAUAGCGAAGGCAGCUCGCUGGGACGUUACUGACGCUGAUGCACGAAAGCUAGGGGAGCAAACAGG
rnacentral:rRNA from 1 species